rnacentral:rRNA from 1 species
UGCCAGCAGAAGCGGUUAAACGAGUAAGCUCGAAGCUUGAUCAUCGGUAUAAAAGAUGGUUAUGUGUUACCAUGGGAGAUAAAAGAGGGCACUACAGUAAAAUGGAAACCCUUUUCCCCCACUCUCCCUGCUUGCAGAACCCAUGAAACUUUUAAGAGAAACUGGGAUUAGAGACCCCAUUAUCUAAAAGCUUAAACAAUUCUCUACCUGGGUAUUACGAACCUUGUUUAAAACCCAAAGAGCCUGGCGGCCUUCAACAGUACUAGGGGAACCUGUUAGGUAAUCGAUACUCCACGUUGAUCUUUACCUUCUCUUGAAAGUAUCAGCCUGUAUACCUCCGUCAUCACUCACCUUAAGAGUUCAAUAGUGAGUAGAAAGUAGAGUCACUACUUCAUGGCAGGUCAAGGUGCAGCUUAUGAGAAGGAUCUCAAUGGGUUACAUUUCGAUAGAAGAUAAUGGAUUGAUCCUGGAAACAGAGUCAUGAAAGUGGACUUAGUAGUAAGGGGUUCUUUAACAUAAACCCCUGAAAGACUCCCUAGGAGGUGCACAAAUCGCCCGUCACUCUCCUCGAAAGAGGAGAWAAGUCGUAACACAGUA